rfam:Oryza rufipogon genomic scaffold, chr03
AAUAAGUGCAGUUUUGCACUAUUCACGUUCAAUGUUUGACCGUUCGUCUUAUUUGAAAUUUUUUUUAUGAUUAAUAUUUUUAUUGCUAUUAGAUGAUAAAACAUGAAUAGUACUUUAUGUGUGAGACUAAAUAUUUUUAAAUUUUUCAAAUAAGACGGACAGUCAAACGUUGGGCACGGAUAUCCACGGCUAAACUUAUU